UGGGGAAUCUUGCGCAAUGGGCGAAAGCCUGACGCAGCAACGCCGCGUGGAGGAAGAAGGCCUUCGGGUUGUAAACUUCUGUCAGGGGGAAAGAAGACACCUGGGUUAAUAGCCCAAGGGUUGACGGUACCCCCAAAGGAAGCCACGGCUAACUACGUGCCAGCAGCCGCGGUAAUACGUAGGUGGCGAGCGUUGUCCGGAAUCAUUGGGCGUAAAGAGCGCGUAGGCGGCUUUUCAGGUCCGACGUGAAAUCUCGGGGCUCAACCCCGAACGUGCAUCGGAAACCGGAUUGCUAGAGUCUGGGAGAGGAGAGUGGAAUUCCUGGUGUAGCGGUGAAAUGCGCAGAUAUCAGGAGGAACACCAGUAGCGAAGGCGGCUCUCUGGAACAGUACUGACGCUGAGGCGCGAAAGCUAGGGGAGCAAACA
rnacentral:rRNA from 1 species